rnacentral:rRNA from 1 species
GAUGAACGCUGGCGGCGUGCCUAAUACAUGCAAGUCGAGCGAACGGACGAGAAGCUUGCUUCUCUGAUGUUAGCGGCGGACGGGUGAGUAACACGUGGAUCACCUACCUAUAAGACUGGGAUAACUUCGGGAAACCGGAGCUAAUACCGGAUAAUAUUUUGAACCGCAUGGUUCAAAAGUGAAAGACGGUCUUGCUGUCACUUAUAGAUGGAUCCGCGCUGCAUUAGCUAGUUGGUAAGGUAACGGCUUACCAAGGCAACGAUGCAUAGCCGACCUGAGAGGGUGAUCGGCCGCACUGGAACUUAGACGCGGACCAGACUCCUACGGGAGGCAGCAGUAGGGAAUCUUCCGCAAUGGGCGAAAGCCUGACGGAGCAGCGCCGCGUGAGUGAUGACGGUCCUCGGUUCGUGAAACUCUGUUAUUAGGGAAGAACAUAUUUGUAAGUAGCUGUGCACAUCGUGACGGUACCUGAACAGAAAGCCACGGCUAACUACGUG